GCCAGGUGUGGUGGCGCAUGCCUGUAAUCCCAGCGGCUUGGGAGGCUGAGGAAGGAACACUGCAAGUUCAAAGCCAGCCUCAGCAACUUAGUGAGACGCCAAGCAACUCAGUGAGACCCUGUCUCUA
rnacentral:sRNA from 1 species